CUCCUCUGUUUUACUAUCAUCAAGAGACAACUUUUCUACGACGGUAUCGAAAUCCUUAAAGGAAACAAGCUUAUCUGUCAACAAAUACCUAGUAGAGCCAUGUGGGCUGAUAAAAUCACCCGCCUUGGUGGUGCACCUCCAGCUCUUUCUUCCUGCAUUCACGGCGGCGGCACCACCGUUAUUAUCACCACCGUCAGUUUUACCGCCAUUUUGUUGUUCUUCGUCGGUUUCUUGAAAAGGGACUCUUUUUAUAUUCUUCUUCUUCUUCUUGGGGGUGAUGGGUGGCUGAGUGGAGCUGGUGCACGGAGGGAGUACGGAUUUUGUGAUUCUUUUUGCGUCUUUGAUGAUGGGGUUGUGGCGGUCGAUGGCUCUGCCGGCGGCGGCGCCGUCGUCUCCGGCGGCGGCGGAGAGAAGGAAGGCGGAGGAGGAAGGAGUGGAGGACGAUGAACCUUGUUCCAUGCUAAGGCAAAUGGCUGUUGCAGCUUGUGAUGCGCAGAAUAUAUCUAUUCCUUUCAUUUUUCGAUCUAAUAUUCUGAUAAGGUUGAAUUACUUCAAAAUGGUUUUUUUGGAGAAUCAAUUUUUCUUUUCUGGGUGAAGAGAGAGAAAGAGAGAAAGACAGAUGAGAGAGAGAGAGAGAAGUUAAAAUGGAGAGAGAGAGAAGGUAAAUUGGGAAUAUAUAUCGCCUCUUUCCUCCUUGUGAAAACCAGCAAAAUUGGAAUAUAGGAUUAAUAUUAGGGUAAAUUAUGUUUUCACUCUCUGAAAUAAGAUUAAAUUACGAAAAAACCUCUCAUGUUUGGAUAAUUACAACAACUUCUCAACUAUGAAUCUUCUUACACGUUCACUCAUAUAGUGUCAAAUUCAACAUGAUCUUUUCGAUUUCGUGGAAUAUUCGCUAAUUUGUAUUCGUUUUGUACAAAAAUGAAGUUUUUGAUGCACCACAAUCUGAUGUUUACAAGCCAAGAGACACAUCUUAUGAUUAUCUUGUUUCAACAUGUUGAGCUCGAAUAGUACAAAACAUGUACAAAUUGAAGAAUAUUCCACUAAAUUUGACACCGGAAGGAUGAAUUUAUAAGAAGAUUCAUAUUUAAGGGUGUGAUUGUAAUUACCUAAACAUGAUUUUUUUCUUAAAUUAACUUUACAUCAUGGAGGUGGCCGUAAUUUGCCUUUAAUGUUAAAGCUUUUCUUGUGCUAAAAACUAAAAAUGUACUAGUGCUAUAUGAUAAGAUAAACUAAGAUAGCAGAUACUAACAAUAGUAAUAAUUUUAUGAAAUUUAUACAAACGCUAUGUUAAUGAGAGUUUGUUACCAAAUCUAGCAACAUAAUGUCCUAAAUAUGCACCAUGCAUACGACUUUUUCACUUGAUUUGCAUAUAUUUUGUUUAAUUGAAAGCCUUCAAUGCCUUCUUCUUCUUGUUUUUUUUUCUCGGUAUCUUGUUUUCACUUGAAAACUAUCGCAUCAAUGAAAUUGGAGAUCAUAUGAAUUUGAUUUUCCUUGAAAAAUCAUGUUGGAGGGUUAGGUGUGGUAUUAACUUAAGGAAACUCCUCAUUUUCGCCUUGUUUAUCUAUAACGCAAUACAUAUGCCAUUUCAUCGGCAAUCCAUUGCAACUCUUCCGUGAUGCGAUUUGCCCUUUGAGCCACAUUUCUUUGAAGUUAUGCUAAUUGAAUUGAAAACUUGUGCCAUGAUUAAACUUGUGCCAUGAUUAUGCAUGACGUUGCAAUGUGGUGCAAAUAUGUCAUGCUUGAUCUUAUAACGUAAAAAUAGGAUUAAUGCUAGCCUAACAAUGGAACAUUAGUGUUAUAUUGAAUUUCGCGACGAAAUAUGGAACAAUAUUAUCAAUCAUUGUGAUAUUUCCCACAUUUCGUUACAAUGAGAAUAUUAACUCUUUUUUUUAACCAAAAAUUGUUAUUUGCGGUUUAGCGACAAAAAAAUACUGUUUGUUGCAAGCUUUGCGAUGGGAUGUAUUGGGACAUUUUUCCGCCGAACCCAUAAUGGGUUUUUUCUUCAAAAUGCUGAAACUCCGUCCCAAUUUGGACUCUUUUGUUGCAAAUAUUCGUCUACGGUUUCCACUUUUUUAAUUAGUGGUUAAUAAUUUCGUUUCUCGCGUACUUUCUAUAAUAUAUGAAAAACGACCCUUUUUAACCAAAACAUGUUACUAUUAGAUGUGUUGGAUUCGGCAAUAGUCAUGCUGGAUUUUUCAUUUUCAUUUGAUUUAUGGACAGCCAAGUGGCAUGUUGGACACUUGUCGUAGGCGGAUUAUGUCCGAUAUGCAACAAUGGUCUUUUGGAGUGUCACUUGUUAUAGCUACUCACUAGUCCAUGUUGUUUUGCAUACAGGACUUGCCAUAACGAGUAGUUAUCUGAAAUAAGAAAAAAAAAAGUUAGUGUUAGUUAUGCUGAUAGAUUUACUGCGGUUGCUAAAACUGCGUAAAUGUGUUUUUUGGUAUAAAUUGGUUGGCUAUAAAGGUGUAAAUUUAUCGUGUCAGUAUCUUUACGUACUGUAUUCAAUGCAAUAUUUAUGCAAUUCUUAGUGACUAUAAGGUUCUCAUCAAUUUUGCAUGAGGGAUUCUGUUGUGUUUAUUAGGUAUUUGCCUGCAGUCACGAAACACAUUUAUGUUACACUAUAUUAGUUGAAUCAUAAAUGCUUUGUUCGUGUAAUAAUUACUCGAUUUUGAUUGGUGAUGUUGUAGGAACUUGACAAGGGACCACCUAAAGAAGGUUCUCCUUCAUUGGCUUAUUCGGAAAUCUCCAAGGAGGCUGAUCACGCUAGCCCUGUCUCGGUUCUUGCACCUUCUAGCUUCCAAGGUUUUGAGGAAGUCAGUGCUGCCCUAAAUGGUAUGAAAAUUUACUAUUUUAAUUGCCUGUCAGAGUAAUGAUAAUUAUUUGAUGUUGAAUUUUUAACGUAAGUCCUUCAGGCAAUACUUCUCGAAAUGUAGUCCAUUUUUGUGGGAUCAGUUGGUUUCUCUAUACACCCUUUCUCCAUCAGAUUUUGUGUGUGUGUGUGUGUUUGCUGAUUCCGACCAUUUUGAUAAACUAGUGCCUUUGAUUCCCACGUAGAUAAUUAGUUUGUCCACUAAAAUCGUGGUUGAUAGUUGAUACAUGAAUUACUAAUAUGAAUGACUUUUAUAAACAUUUUGUCCUCCCAUGAUGAAUAGAGCAGAAGGGUAGAAAUAGGAAGCAGAUUCCGAUCCGAUUUUUUUUUUUUUUUUUUUUUGAUUUUGGAACAAUAUUUUGUCAUUCCGAAUUCCGAAAUUCCAAUUUCCAAUUUUUCCGAAUUUUUUGGAUGGGAAUUGGAAUACAUUUGAGCUUUUGAUUUUCGAUCCAAUUUCGAUUUCGGAAAUUAAUUUUGAAAAUUCCAAUUUUUUUCUGAACUUAUAAUACCCAUAUUAUGAAGUAUUUUGUAUUUAGAUGACUAAUCAUUUGGAAGUUUUCAUUUCCGCCAGUUGCGAGCCGAAAAUUUCCGAUUUUGGAACAAGUUUUUUUGUUCAAUUUUCCGAAAUUACGAUUUUUUUUAAUGAAAUUGGAUCUAGUUUCACUUCCGGAAAAAAUCAGUAUUUUUCCGAAAGUGCUAAUUCCGAUCCGUCGGAUUCGCACCCCUAAUAGAGCUACAUGUAGAUUUAUGUUUUGAGAGAAAGCAGCCGACAAAUGUACGUUCAUUUUAUUUUGUCAUAAAUACUUGAAGCAAAUUAUUUGACCGCAGAAUUUCCAAUUUUCUUUUGUAGAGCUCCGAAUGCAAUUGCAGCUGCUGAAGAUGGAAUCUGACUCAUAUAACUCGAUAUCCACUCUUGUCCUAAUUGAAGACGAAAAUGCACAACUAUCUUCACUGCUUCCAAAAGGCUGGAAACUCUCUUACAUUCUUGACGUGCUUAUCCACUCUAAUCUUCGAGUAUUUAGCUACGACAUGUCUGUGAUGACGUGGCACUCCAACAAAUCCCCAUUGGAUCCUAACUUGUUCGACAAACUCGAGAAGAAAUACGCUGAUCACGAAAUGAAUGAGCCGAUGCUGGAAAGGAAGUUGCUAUUUGACGGAAUAAAUUCAACACUAUUGAAGAUUCUUCAACAGAAGCUCGAUCUUUGCCCUUGGGUGAAACCGAAAUUAGCAGCACUGCCUUUGAUUUCGCAGAAGGAACGAGUUGUAGAUGCUCUGGAGAAAUUGAUCAACGAAGAAUCUCCGUAUGGGCAGGUAGAUGAGAAGAUAUUAGUCGACAAGGAGAUGCUGUUUCAAGAUUCUAAAGGAGAAAUCAACUUAUUAGGUAAUGAAAUUGGGAAUUUGUUGAUGGAUGACAUGAUAAUCGAGAUUCUUGCGUAACUGCUAGUGUUAGAUUUUUUUUUUUCCCGCAAAGGAAGCUGGGGAUUUUAAGUUGGUAUAACAUAGGCGAUGAAUUAAGAAUAAAGUCGGAAUAAGAACUUACAGACAGGUUUUUUUUUUUUUUUUUUAAGGCAAAUCAGACAGUUUCAUGUUUCUUUGAUGUGUUGCAAGAAUAUGUUGAGAGGAGUAUCUAGAGAAUUCUAGAAUUAUAGGGUUUGUAGUUUUUUUUUUCGAUUGGUAUAAUUAAUUAAAUAAUUGAGUUUUAUUUGGUAUUUGAUUAGUGCAACAAUACAUUUUUCAAGGUGACUCAAUUAUACCAACUCUCGUUAGAAGAGUUGGUACCUAACUUCUACUCUGAGUCGAGGUCUAGGGAUCGAAUUCUGCCCCCUCCCGUACUUUCCCAAUUUGUAACAUGAUUCGAUUUCUAGUGAAUAAUCAAUGCUUAAUAAUUUUUUAUCACAAAAUAAAAAUAAAAAGGGCAUUAUGGGAAUGCAAAUGCUGUAAUAGUUUUCGAUAAUUCUCAAACACGAACAAAAACACCGGAAUGAACAUUAAAUAAUUUACACCAGCUAACUGCUAGAUGCAAUUGAAUUUCUAAUUAAGAAGAAGAAAAUAAAAUAAAAAUAAAAAUAAAUAAAUUAAAAAAGAGCAAUUAUCUAUCUGCAACUUGUAAUGCUGCAGGUUCUUUGUAACCAUAAAUGGUGGAUUCUGAGUUAAUGAGGUUGUCUGGGAUUGAAUUAGAUGGCCAUAACUGGGCAUUGGACUUCACCUUAGAUAUGCUUGAAAGUACAUUCGCCGGAGUUACGUUUCCGGUCACCGUCACCUUCUUCGCCGCAAAAUCUAUCUCGAAAGACGUUACCCCUAUAAAUAUACCACUUAGCUUAUUUAUUAUCUAUCUCCACAAAUCAUAAAUAUAUUAUACUACACAACAAAUAACACCACCUUAAUUAUUAUAAAAAUAAAAAUAGAAUAUUUUUUUUUACUAACUUGAUGAUGUAAUCUUAUGGGAAUUGGCAAAAAAUGAAAUAAAUGGUUGUUGGAAAUUUAUUUUACACCAAAUUACUGCCAGCCCCCUAAAGUAAGGUCAAAUUACAAAAAAUCCCACUUGUUUCGAUAAUUACAACAAUUCCUCAACUACGUAUUAUCUUACAAUUGAAAGAUGAGUUUUUUGGUAAAACAAUAUGUAAUUGAGGAGUGGUUGUAAUUAUCCAAAUAUAAGGGUUUCUUUUUCGUAAUUUGACUUUACCUGAGUAGUCAGGACGUAAUUUGCCCAUAAAUGUAUGAUGAUGCAUUAUAUUUGACAUAUAUCUAAUCAAGUGAAAAAAGCGACAAAAAAAUAGAGACCUUCCAUCCUAGAGAGAUGUUUUCUCAUUUUCUUUUCGCAUCCUCUGCAGUGCAAAGACACUCUCAGUACAACUACUACAACCUCCUCCUCCUGCAAAUUAAUCCAACAAACAAACACUACUCAUCUUUACAUACAUACAUACAUAUGUAAAACGACUCAGAUGAAUUAUAAUUAAAUUAAGCAAAUAAUUAACCUGCAGAUGGUCAGGGGGCGGCGGCGGCGGUACGGCGUCGUCGGAGAUGAGUUCCUCCUCUGUUUUACUAUCAUCAAGAGACAACUUUUCUACGACGGUAUCGAAAUCCUUAAAGGAAACAAGCUUAUCUGUCAACAAAUACCUAGUAGAGCCAUGUGGGCUGAUAAAAUCACCCGGCUUGGUGGUGCACCUCCAGCUCUUUCUUCCUACAUUCACGGCGGCGGCACCACCGUUAUCAUCACCGCCGUCAGUUUUACCGCCAUUUUGUUGUUCUUCGUCGGUUUCUUGAAAAGGGACUCUUUUUAUAUUCUUCUUCUGCUUCUUCUUGGGGGUGAUGGGUGGCUGAGUGGAGCUGGUGCAAGGAGGGAGUACGGAUUUGGUGAUUAUUCUUUUUGCGUCUUUGAUGAUGGGGUUGUGGCGGUCGAUGGCUCUGCCGGCGGCGGCGCCGUCGUCUCCGGCGGCGGCGGAGAGAAGGAAGGCGGAGGAGGAAGGAGUGGAGGACGAUGAACCUUGUUCCAUGCUAAGGCAAAUGGCUGUUGCAGCUUGUGAUGCGCAGAAUAUAUCUAUUCCUUUCAUUUUUCGAUCUAAUAUUCUGAUAAGGUUGAAUUACUUCAAAAUGGUUUUUUUGGAGAAUCAAUUUUUCUUUUCUGGGUGAAGAGAGAGAAAGAGAGAAAGACAGAUGAGAGAGAGAGAGAGAAGUUAAAAUGGAGAGAGAGAGAAGGUAAAUUGGGAAUAUAUAUCGCCUCUUUCCUCCUUGUGAAAACCAGCAAAAUUGGAAUAUAGGAUUAAUAUUAGGGUAAAUUAUGU
rnacentral:lncRNA from 1 species